UCAUAGUUUAAUGGAAUCUAAUCAUACUCAAGCACUACAAGGAUUAUUCUUCACAGUGUUAUUAGGACUAUACUUUACAAUACUUCAAGCAUAUGAAUAUUGAGAAGCACCUUUUACCAUUGCAGAUGCAGUUAUGGAUCAACAUUCUUUGUUGCAACAGGAUUCCAUGGUUUACACGUAAUUAUUGGAACAAUCUUUUUAUCAACAUGUCUACUUCGACACUUAAUAAAUCAAUUUUCACCAAGACAUCACUUUGGAUUUGAAGCAGCAGCAUGAUACUGACACUUCGUAGACGUAGUAUGAUUAUUCUUAUAUAUCUCUAUUUAUUGAUGAGGUAGAUAAUU